rnacentral:lncRNA from 1 species
AUCAGUUAGGUUCAUCAGACACUGUAUAUUAAAUUCAGAAUGUAUUUCAAGAAUCAGAAUGCAAUGAUUUACUCCGAAACAUGCAUGUGGUGUGUUUGUGGUAGGCUGGCCGGGCGCACCUUAUUCUGUAGAUAUAUGUGAAGGUCUGGAGGACUGGAGUGGAGCAAACAGCCUCUCUAACCCGUCUGACACUGAGGAGGAGGACGCCGCACAUCUGGUAAGAGACGAACAUCCCACACUCACUCAGUCACUAACUCAUGUAGGGCGACACUUGUUAUUUUUUACUUAUACUUAACUUAUCUGUUUGUUUUAGGUUGCAGGCAGAUACAGGGCCUUCGUCGACUGGCGUAAAAAUGGGACGGAUAACUUCAUCAUUAGGUGUGGUGAUGUCAUACAACUACAGCAUGAGGAAAAUGAUGGCCAGUGGCUGGUGAAGAAUCUGAGUCGCAGACAGGAAGGCCGUAUCCCUACUGCCAACCUGCAGGGCAUCCUGGGAGAAAGCCUCAAGAAUCACUCCAACCGGCUUGGAGACCCAGGGAAUCGUAAAGCACGGAAGCUCAGCUCGCCAUGAAGGAAUGGCCCAGUUCAAUAUUGGACCUUUAAUAUUCACGCUUGGUAG